rnacentral:rRNA from 1 species
CAGUAGCCGCGGUAAUACGUAGGGUGCAAGCGUUAAUCGGAAUUACUGGGCGUAAAGCGUGCGUAGGCGUCUUCUUAAGUCGGAUGUGAAAUCCCUGAGCUUAACUUAGGAAUUGCAUUCGAUACUGGGAAGCUAGAGUAUGGGAGAGGAUGGUAGAAUUCCAGGUGUAGCGGUGAAAUGCGUAGAGAUCUGGAGGAAUACCGAUGGCGAAGGCAGCCAUCUGGCCUAAUACUGACGCUGAGGUACGAAAGCAUGGGGAGCAAACAGGAUUAGAGACCCUUGUAGUCCCUGUCUCUUAUAC